CCCUUAGAUGUUCUGGGCCGCACGCGCGCUACACUGAUGCAUUCAACGAGUCUAAAACCUGCUCUGAUAGGGGUGGGUAAUCUUUUGGAUGUGCAUCGUGAUUGGGAUAGAUGAUUGCAAUUUUUCAUCUUCAACGAGGGAUGCCUAGUAAACGCAAGUCAUCAGCUUGCAUUGAUUACGUCCCUGCCCUUUGUACACACCGCCCGUCGCUCCUACCGAUUGAAUGAUCCGAUGAAUAUCAUGGAUUGAGGAUGCAAGUAGGUUCGCCUAUCUUCAUCUUCGAGAAGUGAAGUAAAUCUUAUCAUUUAGAGGAAGGAGAAGUCGUAACA
rnacentral:rRNA from 1 species